GGCCCCAUAGCUCAGCUGGGAGAGCGCCACCUUGACAGGGUGAAGGUCGCUGGUUCGAGGCCAGUCGGGAUCC
rnacentral:tRNA from 1 species